GGUGAACGCUGGCGGCAUGCCUAACACAUGCAAGUCGAACGAGAUCUUCGGAUCUAGUGGCGCACGGGUGCGUAACGCGUGGGAAUCUGCCCUUGGGUUCGGAAUAACAGUUAGAAAUGACUGCUAAUACCGGAUGAUGUCUUCGGACCAAAGAUUUAUCGCCCAAGGAUGAGCCCGCGUAGGAUUAGGUAGUUGGUGGGGUAAAGGCCCACCAAGCCGACGAUCCUUAGCUGGUCUGAGAGGAUGAUCAGCCACACUGGGACUGAGACACGGCCCAGACUCCUACGGGAGGCAGCAGUGGGGAAUAUUGGACAAUGGGCGAAAGCCUGAUCCAGCAAUGCCGCGUGAGUGAUGAAGGCCUUAGGGUUGUAAAGCUCUUUUACCCGGGAUGAUAAUGACAGUACCGGGAGAAUAAGCUCCGGCUAACUUCGUGCCAGCCGCCGCCGUAA
rnacentral:rRNA from 1 species